GGCUUUGGCAAACUGUUUUGUCCUUUCUUCUCAACGACGGUGAGCGUCGAAGUUGAAAGAUUACUGAGAUGAACUUCUCAACGAGGCUCGCUGAGAAACUCCCCGGUGCCGCUUUCUCCUAUCUUGCGUAAUGUGUUUUUUUAAACAGGUGAGUCAAGCAUUCUUUAAAGGUCAUUAAACCCUGGGAUUGAUACUAUUGGAGUAAGAGUUCCAGACUGUGAAUUCAUUAGAAAAGUAUCCAGAGGUUCGGGGAGUGUUUUGGCUCUUACAAGUGCUAAUCUAAGCGGUGAUAGAAGCAGCGUUUGCGUGAAUGAUUUUCAAAGUCUUUGGCAGCAUUGUGCUUGUGUCUAUGAUGGUGGUUUGCUUCCGUCAGGGCGUCAAGGAUCAACAAUAGUUGAUUUGACUAAAGUUGGAAAGUAUAAGGUCAUUAGACCUGGAAGCGCAAAGCAAGAAACAUUAGCAAUUCUUGAGAAGUAUUUGCUGGAAGAAGAGUAGAAGAAAAGUUGUUUAAGUUCUGAUCUGAUUUGUAAGAAUUGAAGGUUUUGCUUUGGUUCUUACUUUAUUUUGGUAUUGGUUUAAGAUGUCAGAUAUGUAUGUAGAGUAGGAAAAGAUUGUUGAUUUUGUUCAUCUAUUAUAGUUAUACUAUGAUCAUUGUGAUGGAAGCUUCAAAAAUAAAAACUGUAAAUGAGUUUGUAAAAGAGUUAUAGAGAAUAUAAAAACUGUAAAUGAGUUUGUAAAAGAGU